CCAUCCUCGCGCCCGUGGCCCGCGCCCAUCCCUCGCCGCUCUCGCCCCACGCGGUCACGCCCGUCGUCGCCGUCCUCGCGCUGCUCCCGUGCAGUGCCAUCGUCACCGUCCUCGUGCCGUGCCGUCCUCGCCGUCCCCGCGCCAUCCCCACGCCGCUCCCGCACCGUGCCAUCCUCGCCAUCGCCUGCCUCGUCGAUUUGCAUUGUCUGGAGGCCGCCGGACGAAACUGACGCCACCAGGAGCACCGCCGAGCCAAGACGCACCUCAUCAGCCGGUUGCCGUCGUCGAUUGGCCAUUGGAAGCGCUCCACCGCGUGAAGCCCGGGAGCAGCCCCCGGCGGGCCGAAUUCCGGCCACCACCGUCCACAUCUGCCGAUGGCGACCUCACCGUCCAGAGCUGCUCGCCAUGGGAGAAGUCCCAAGCUUUUUCAUUCAAGCCCCUAGACAAUCCUAUAAUGGUUUUCAAUAUUCACGUGUCUUGUAACUUUUACGUAAAAACCCCCGGAAGUUUUGGGUGCCAGCGAUCCAGUCCAGUCAAGCACUUUUGAAUAUGCAUAGUCAAGAUCCAUACAUAGUCUGUUGGAUAGCCCAUCUUUUUAUACAAGUUUCUAUUUUUACAAAGGAGAUAAAAUCUGUAAAUUUAGCUAAUGUUUUAAAGAGACUCUUGGAGAUACUCUUAUUAUUAGAGGCAGAUAGCUACGGAUGACGCGCUUAUUGGAGACGCGGA